rnacentral:miRNA from 1 species
CAGGACCAGCGCAGACUGGCGCACCCCAGGGAUCUCUGGGCGAGAUCUCAAGCAUGACUAGGAGGUCUCUGUGCCUUCC